AUUGGAAAAAACGACGCGAAAAUUGAAGGUGUUUUGCUGUGUGUGGGGCUCACAGGGGUCAAUCCUCUUCCGUUUAGAUUUCCCGGCACUUUUCCGACUUCCAUUGGCUUCAAUUCCACCGGCUCUCUCUCUCUAGAUGCUCGAUCCAGGAACAAAACUCGUGGCAGAGUCCGAGGCCGGCAACUGGGGGAGUAAGGACAAGGUGGUCGGAUGUGGCUACAAAUCCGGGGCAGAGGAAGGUUUUCUUCACAGUCGACUCAAAAGUGGUCCACGAAGUCCACUGCAAGACCGAGGACUACUGCGCCCCCCUCUACCCGACCCUGACAUCCAAUGGGGACACCGUGGUACUGGUGAACCUCGGGCAGAGCCCUUUUAGUUUCGAGCCCGCGAAUCUGCAACGGAGUCUCAACCCCUGCUUCAUGGGGGCAUCCCCUGCACUAGGGUAUGAAGAUAGCUAGGAGCUUUUCUCAAUGGGGAGGAUUGAUUCACUGUGGAUGCAGAGGAGUGCAGCCAGGAGCAACAACAACACAGUCAGUAGCAUCAAAUCUUUGCAAGAAUAUGAUCAAGAAUCUGAGGGUGAUCUGUUUGAGAUUGUCUUGGAAAGUUCUGGAAGAUCUCCCUAUACUUCUACAAAUACUCACUAGCCCAUUUUUCAGUGUCACAAACUUCACCUCAUCAAGAAAAUGUUAGCCAUUAGUUUGGUGAGGUGUGGAGAUAAUUUUUGACAUAUUUUAGAUAUUUUAAAAAAUAAAGACAGAAAAUUUGAUAGGGGGCUUAAGCCCCUCCUUUUUCUUCAUUUAUAGGUUCUAUAAAUAGCUAAGGUUGGAUCGAUAUUUUCGUAGAUUUAUUACAGUCAUUGUAAAUCUA